rnacentral:rRNA from 1 species
UACGAAGGGUGCAAGCGUUACUCGGAAUUACUGGGCGUAAAGCGUGCGUAGGCGGUUUGUUAAGUCUGUUGUGAAAGCCCCGGGCUCAACCUGGGAAUGGCAAUGGAAACUGGCGAGCUAGAGUACGGUAGAGGAGAGUGGAAUUCCCGGUGUAGCAGUGAAAUGCGUAGAGAUCGGGAGGAACAUCAGUUGCGAAGGCGGCUCUCUGGACUAGUACUGACGCUGAGGCACGAAAGCGUGGGGGAGCAAACAGGG